rnacentral:rRNA from 1 species
UUUGACCUCGGAUCAGGUAGGGAUACCCGCUGAACUUAAGCAUAUCAAUAAGCGGAGGAAAAGAAACCAACAGGGAUUGCCCCAGUAACGGCG